UACAGAGGGGGCAAGCGUUGUUCGGAAUUACUGGGCGUAAAGGGCGCGUAGGCGGCCUUCUAAGUCGAACGUGAAAUCCCCGGGCUCAACCCGGGAACUGCGUCCGAUACUGGAAGGCUUGAAUCCGGGAGAGGGAUGCGGAAUUCCAGGUGUAGCGGUGAAAUGCGUAGAUAUCUGGAGGAACACCGGUGGCGAAGGCGGCAUCCUGGACCGGCAUUGACGCUGAGGCGCGAAAGCCAGGGGAGCAAACGGGAUUAA
rnacentral:rRNA from 1 species